GUCAUGGGAUUUUGUACUACGUUGCUAUCGGACCCGCGUUUGAAAGUUACGUCAGUCACUCGUCGCCCUGGGAACGAGAGGUUCUGGGCUCGAGGCCUGCAAAAGAUUCACGUUCAGUGCUGCUCGUGUUAUUUAACCAGCUUCCUCCAGCGACCUUUGCUGAUGUUUAACCGGUGACUAGUGAUCAUUUGAGUCCCUUUUGCAUGGAGUUUUCAGAUAGCAUGAGUACAGUGCAGCGCAUUUAAUGAUUUAACUUGCUAACUAAUAAUUAACCACAUUUAAAAAAUGAGCCCAUCUGCUGUCUAAUUAGGGCACUUGCAGUCGAAUGGAUUCAUUGAGCAAUCUGAUGAUUGCAAACAAACAUUUGCUGCAAGAGAAAAUCACUCAUACUUUGUCUUUUGAAUGUUGCAAAAUGAAAAUACAGCAUGUUUUAUUAGGGUCACUUUACCACCAUAUGACUAUUGUGGAUUUCUUAAAGGAAUAGUUAACAAAAUAAAAAAAUGCUAAAAUUUACUCAACAGCAUGUUGUCAUAAGACAUAAAAGGAGAUAUCAAUUAUAAAGAAUAGGUAUCAAGCUUGAUUUUCAGUGAACUUUCAGUUUUUUCUUCACACAAAGCUUUAAAAGACAAAAAUAUAGUUCACAAGACGUAUGGAUUUAAUGUUUUAUGGCAUUUCAUGGUACUUUUUUGGACCUUGACAGGUGUGUGUAUAAAUACUGACACCCUUUGGAGUUUGCCUCAAACCCUAUAGUUUUUCAGUUCUUUGGUUAAGGUUUAUUUCACAAUUAAAGUGAAGAACAUGCUGACUUUUAGAAGUUAUGCAACAUUCAAUUUAAGAUAUACUGUGGCAGGUGUUUAUAGAGGACUGUGUUGUAAUUGGCUCAAUCCUGGCAGCGGCUGAACUCAUAAGACAGUUCUGUCAUGUUAACUUUUAACUUUAUGCAGAUGUCAUAUUUAUUGCUUGCUAUGAUUCAGGUUGUCUUCUCAGAGUGAGAUGUUCUCAGUCUCCCACAGGUGCUGGCAGGUCUCAUAGAGCCUGAAUUAUGCCUAGUGUUUCUUAUAAUACUCAGGAAGAAUGGCCUCAUUUGGGACCCAUCUUGACCUUAUCAGUCUUGUGAUUGUUUGAGUCUGUUUAGUGAGAUCUGAAGCCUUUGAUUAACUCAAACUGUAUAAGUCAAUGAAUCAACUGCAGUUUGUUCUUAGAUUGUCGGCUUUGCAGUUGUUGUUUCUUUUUUUUUGGCAGGGUUGUUUCUUUUUUAUUCAAACUUGAAGUAAAAUACUUGAUCUUUCUGGUUGUGUGUGUGUGUGUGUGUAUUUUUGUACCAAUGUCAGUGAAUGUGGCGCCAUCGUUUGAGUCAAAUCAAGGCUGGUGGCACCACCACAUAUAGUCUUUUAUCGCUUACCGCUUGUUUACAUAUAGCUUUUUGCUUUCGUUCCCACCCUACAGUGCUAAUUUCCUCAUGGCGUAACUAUUUUUAGCUGGGUCUUGACAAUACAGAAUGGCAUGUGUGCUGACAGACAGUUUUUAAGGAGAAGAGAGAAGUUCUGAACUCUUAGACUAAGUGGAGGUCAGACGUAAUUGCCUUCCUCCCUCAAAAGUAUGUGCUUAUGUUGAGUUUUUCGUGAUCAUUGCGUCAAGAACAUUGUUCCACGGUAGACCGGUUGCCCUCAUGUUGUUCCCGUAGCGUGGAGAGUGUGUGUGUGACGAGGUCUUGUCGGUAUUUCAGGGCAGCAGUGCCUUCUGUGCCUGGAGUUUCCUUUGGGACAGAAAUAGCAGUGUGUCUCGCUCUCCUUCUGUUUGAUUUGAACAUUAGAUACAGCUCCGGCUCCGUCCCCCAGCCUCUUUGAUUUGGGCCGGGUUUCCGGGGUAGGGAGAACAUUCCUCUUGAACUACCCUUAUUCCAGAAAUGACCAGCUGGCUGAAAAAUGUCCUUCAAUUGUUUCUGCAUGUUUUAGUUUAGGAAAACAUUUUAGGUAAAAACAAGAACAUAGUAAAAAUGCAAUUACAUUUAGACACACAAUUCUUUGUAGUUUCACUCUAAUCUGAUAGAAGAGAAAAUAUAUUUUGUGAUUUGAUUAAUUAAAAAAGUUAAGUCUUUGUUCAGAGGAGUUACACCUUUUGACUUUUUGGCUUAUUAUGAAGUUUGAGCUUACUAAUUUAAUACUAAUCUAGUUAUUGCAGAGGGUUGCUGUGGAUCGGCAGGUGCCUUAUUCAUUCUUUUAUGUCCAUAUAUGGACAUUGGCUUUUGCUCCAUAAUGCCCGCCAUUAUUAGUCAGUAAGGCUGUGUAAGUGUGUUCACUAGCAUUUAAGGAAAUGCAGAGCACUCGCUUGCUAUACUGCUCAAGCUUUACUGAAUGUAAUGCUGGUUCACAUUGGUUUAAGUGUGUAGUUUCUUCUCUGCUAGCAUUGCUAAACAGAAUUGAACAGAAUUUGAAAAUACAAACACUCCCUCCAUCUGCUAAUGGUUGGGCAAUCUCCCAUAAAAUUCGCACGCUUCACCUUUUAAAAGGAUAGUGCACCCAAAAAUGAAAAUUCUGUCAUCAAUUACUAAUUUUUUUGAGGUAUUUUUAGAGAAACCUCAGAAAUUCCUCCAGAACAAACCUCAUUUGUUAUAUUUGAUGUACUCGAUGUAUGUGUGUUGAUCAAUGUGAAUAAAUAAUAAUAUAUGAAUAGAAACCUAAAUUGAAAAUCUUUCAUAUAAAGUGACGGUGUAUAUUUUCAAAUUAAAUUAAAUCAUAUACAGUGAUUGUAUCUCUUCAGAAGAUUUAAACCUCUUGAUUCACUUUAAUUUUUUUUUUAAUACAAUGUGUUUAUAAAGCAUCAAAGUUUUGGUAGAAUAGACUUUAAAUGGAGCGACAUCUCUCAGAUUUUAUUAAAAAUAUCUUUAUUUGUGUUUCAAAGAUAAAAAAAAAAGGGUUUGAAAUGAAAUGAGGAUGAGUAAAUGAUGAGAGAAUUUUCAUUUUUGGGUGAACUAAGCAAAUUUAUUUCACAAAAAAGGUUGAUACACACACACACACACACACACACACACACACACACACACACACCAUUCCCAUGUUACUUAACCUACACAUAAAUUGUAAGAAUAUGAUUAAUACUGAUGAAUAAACAGUAUAAGGUAAGGCUAUAAAAUAGCAGUCCCAAACUAGUUUUUGUUAAUACAGUAAAGUUGGUAAGUUGGUAUGCGCAUGCAAAGGAAGAGUGCAGUACAAACACGGUAUAACGGACAAGUUAAGAAAAUAACGUUGGAAUAAUGUCACUGACAUAUAGCCUGACAACAUCUCAGAUGCUGAAUCAGGACAGCGCACUCAGGCACUACUUAAACUGCUCCUGACAGAAUAGUCAACAGCUUUCACACAUGUCUUUCAAAAUAAAAGUCUUGCAUCAGAGAAACAUUUAGAAUUACAUUUUUUGCUGUUUGUUUGACUGCAUACUCCGCGACCCACUUAGAACGGUCUUGUGACCCACUUUUGGGUAGAGAAACAUUGGUUUAGUGUAUGUAAACUGGUGGAUUUAGCACGAGAGAUUGGAUGGGUAGUUGCUGAAUUUAUUUAAAGGUGAUCACACAUAUACACACCACCAACAUCAACAGCGGACCUUCCACUGUUGUAUUUCCAUGACUUGUUGAAGUCAUGUUGGCUGGCCUUCUGUGCCCCAGUGCUGUGUAAGCAAGUUCUGUGGAAUCAAGGCUUAUUCUGGGUGCUCCUUCAUAUGAGUCAGUUCUGCAAUAUGAUAGACGCUUCCUAGAAUCUGCGUGAGACCAAAUGCCCCCCCCCACACACACACACACUCGCUUAUCUUUAUGGUUUUUAGAUACACAGACACUCCUAGCAAAAUUAGUUCUUGAAUUGAAUUAACUCAUUAUUCAUUUUUAUUUCAUCAGAUAGAUUUAUUUCCUAUAACUGCAGAGCUUUUCUGAGCAGCCUGUAGAAGAAUGUUCACGAUUAUGUAAUGUUUAUCACGCAGUGUACAUGAUUGCUGGUUCAGAAUGUAGUCAAAACAAAAAUUAUAUGGCGUUUUGUCUGCCUGGUUACUGCUGAAGUUUUUCAGAAUGUGAAAUACAUCUUGUCUGAUGAACCGUCAGACAGCCAGUGGAAAUCGGAUCAGUUUUGUUAUAAUCGUAGAUUAAAGUGCUCUCAUCUUGAUUGGUGUUCCUGCUGUUUAGUAUCCAUAUUUGCAAAUACACACUUAAGCCCAAUUUUGAGGUUGCGAAAACGAAAGCGCCCUGAGCGUCUGUGCGUCUACCAGUUUGUAGGGCGGAAAAGCUUGCGUAGCGUUGACUGUAACGCUCCCAUCCAAUCAGCGUGGUUACAACACCCAUAAAAUGUCAUCUGUUUCAACAAAGUGACCCCUUGGACCUGUUUUAUGGUGUCCGAUCACUCUGGCAGAGAUCCGCUGUAAGUCAGUCAUGCGACUGUGUGUGUGUCUGUACCUGUGUAGAAAUGUAGCAUGUGACCUGAGAGGCAUCAAAUGACAGUCAGUCAAGAAAGAGUGCUGACUCGCUACCCUGCUGUGUGUGAAUGGAGACCAGUACUGCUUUUAGAGUCACUGUUUGAACCUCCUAGCUGAGCCUGGCUCUAAAGCAUUUGUAGUUGACUUUCUUCAUGUUCCAUUUCCUAAAUUAUUGACCCAGUAUGCCAUUAGCAAAGUGCCUCUUUACCUCACCGGUUUUAAGUGAUCAAAUAUUAUGUAACUAGUCACAACAACCCAAAUACAGCAGAGAUAGAAAGGUUACGACGCCCUCCUUACCACUUUUUGAGCAAUGGAUGACUGAAAUUUAGGGCAUGGACAGACCGUUCUGUUAAGUUGCACUCACCAAGCAUCACAAAGCAGUUCCAGAAUAAGUUUUUUCUAAACUAGUAUUGGUAGUAUUUAGUGAGGGCAACUUUAAAUGACAGUGCUGACUUUAGCUGCUAAUAAUACAUCUGAGUGUAAGUAUUAUCAAAAAAGAAGAAAAAAGAAAAAAAUGCCCAUCAGUUUUUGAUUAGAUUUUGAAAAGUGCAAGUGACAUGUGGCCAAGUAUGGUGUCCCAUACUUGGAAAUUGUGCUCUGCAUUUCACCCAUCUAGGUGCACACACACACAGCAGUGAGUGUUGAAAACACACACACACACACACACACACACACACACCGUGAACAGUAGGCUGCCUUUUUUUUUUUUUUUUUGCUGUGGCACCUGGAGAGUGAUUGGGGGUUCAAGAGCACCUCAGUUUCUGGUAAUGAGAGUGGAAGUGAGCACUGUUCAUUCACUCCGCCCACCUACAUUUCCUGCCAGUACUGAGACUCGAACCCAUGACCUUUGGGUUACAAGUCUGACUCUCUAACCAUUAGGCCAAAACUGUGUGUGAACUUGCAAUUGACUGUGGAGGGAUGGAGUUUAAACAGACUAAAUGAUUGGAGAAGUGCACUGAAACACUGAGCGAUUACAUUAGACAUGAUACAUUUUGUUAGAACAGGGAGUUGAUCAGCAUUCCUGCUCCCAGACGCCUCCCAAACUCCAGACUGCAAAGUGUCUUGUCCUGGAUGAACCCAGUGGACCAGUUCAAGAUACUUCCUGCAUUCUUGUAGGCCGCCAACUAUUCAAAAUCUAAACAGCCAACAGGAAGUUGUUCCGUAAAUCAGAAAAAUGUUGGGAGCUGAUUAAACGGGAGAUGUCUGCAGAUAGGAGAGUGCAGUGACUCUUCCAUCAAGAGCUGGAUCAGGGGAAAUUCAUGAGUCAAAACUCCUUGAGUCUAAUCAGCAGAGUUUUGUUCGCACAGCAGACAUGCUACUUCAUUCUGAACAUUACUGUCUAAAUAUGGAAAAGUCCAGUGGGGAAGCAGUCCAAGUGAUUCAGAUUUUCUGUUUAUUGUCCUAUUAAAAAAAAAAAAUGCAAA